CGGGGUGUAGCGCAGCCUGGCAGCGCGGGUGAAUGGGGUUCACCAGGUCCCGGGUUCGAAUCCCGGCACCCCGA
rnacentral:tRNA from 1 species